rnacentral:rRNA from 1 species
UGGGGAAUAUUGCGCAAUGGGCGAAAGCCUGACGCAGCCAUGCCGCGUGUGUGAAGAAGGCCUUAGGGUUGUAAAGCACUUUCAAUUGGGAAGAAAGGUUGCGUGUUAAUAGCACGUAGCUGUGACGUUACCUUUAGAAGAAGCACCGGCUAACUCC